GAUGAACGCUGGCGGCGUGCCUAAUACAUGCAAGUCGAGCGAACGGACGAGAAGCUUGCUUUUCUGAUGUUAGCGGCGGACGGGUGAGUAACACGUGGAUAACCUACCUAUAAGACUGGGAUAACUUCGGGAAACCGGAGCUAAUACCGGAUAAUAUUUUGAACCGCAUGGUUCAAAAGUGAAAGACGGUCUUGCUGUCACUUAUAGAUGGAUCCGCGCUGCAUUAGCUAGUUGGUAAGGUAACGGCUUACCAAGGCAACGAUGCAUAGCCGACCUGAGAGGGUGAUCGGCCACACUGGAACUGAGACACGGUCCAGACUCCUACGGGAGGCAGCAGUAGGGAAUCUUCCGCAAUGGGCGAAAGCCUGACGGAGCAACGCCGCGUGAGUGAUGAAGGUCUUCGGAUCGUAAAACUCUGUUAUUAGGGAAGAACAUAUGUGUAAGUAACUGUGCACAUCUUGACGGUACCUAAUCGGAAAGCCACGGCUAACUACGUGCCAGCAGCCGCGGUAAUACGUAGGUGGCAAGCGUUAUCCGGAAUUAUUGGGCGUAAAGCGCGCGUAGGCGGUUUUUUAAGUCUGAUGUGAAAGCCCACGGCUCAACCGUGGAGGGUCAUUGGAAACUGGAAAACUUGAGUGCAGAAGAGGAAAGUGGAAUUCCAUGUGUAGCGGUGAAAUGCGCAGAGAUAUGGAGGAACACCAGUGGCGAAGGCGACUUUCUGGUCUGUAACUGACGCUGAUGUGCGAAAGCGUGGGGAUCGAGCAGGAUUAGAUACCCUGGUAGUCCACGCCGUAAACGAUGAGUGCUAAGUGUUAGGGGGUUUCCGCCCCUUAGUGCUGCAGCUAACGCAUUAAGCACUCCGCCUGGGGAGUACGACCGCAAGGUUGAAACUCAAAGGAAUUGACGGGGACCCGCACAAGCGGUGGAGCAUGUGGUUUAAUUCGAAGCAACGCGAAGAACCUUACCAAAUCUUGACAUCCUUUGACAACUCUAGAGAUAGAGCCUUCCCCUUCGGGGGACAAAGUGACAGGUGGUGCAUGGUUGUCGUCAGCUCGUGUCGUGAGAUGUUGGGUUAAGUCCCGCAACGAGCGCAACCCUUAAGCUUAGUUGCCAUCAUUAAGUUGGGCACUCUAAGUUGACUGCCGGUGACAAACCGGAGGAAGGUGGGGAUGACGUCAAAUCAUCAUGCCCCUUAUGAUUUGGGCUACACACGUGCUACAAUGGACAAUACAAAGGGCAGCGAAACCGCGAGGUCAAGCAAAUCCCAUAAAGUUGUUCUCAGUUCGGAUUGUAGUCUGCAACUCGACUACAUGAAGCUGGAAUCGCUAGUAAUCGUAGAUCAGCAUGCUACGGUGAAUACGUUCCCGGGUCU
rnacentral:rRNA from 1 species